GGUCAUUUUCUACCCCAGAUUUCUUAAAGUCUUGUAUGUAUUGAAUGUAAUUGCAGGAGCCAUACACAUAUUCAUUUUAGUUUGGUCACAUAAGGUAUUGAAUCUGAAAUUCUAGCCACAAAUUUGAUGCUGAGUGGACCUAUUCAGGGGACCAAGCUGAACUAGAAAGAACUCAGUUGUUCCAUUGGGUCCCCAGGAUGCCCAGGGCACUGAGGGCAUCAAGUCAGGCUUGCUUUGGGAAGGUCAUUUCCCCACGAUGUCCAGGACUGUUUCUUCAAAGAGAAACUUAGGUCCACCCCAUUCACACUGCACCUGAGGUAUCAGUUCAUUCAUUCAACAAAUUUGUAUUGUGCUAUUGCUAUGACUCAGGCUCCAUGUUUGUGGUUUCAUUUCUUUAUGCCAAAGUGCGAGCCAGAAGGGGGACCAGGGUUACAGGGAGUCUGAGAAUCUGGGCCCUUGCUCCCUAUGUGGCAUAAGUAAAACCAGCUUCAUUUGUUGCUCUGAAAAUAUUUCUCCAGGGUUUUCUAUUUUUGACACACAGAGAGUUACGCCCUGUGUUAUCCUGGUUAUAAGAUGAAAAAUGAGUAUAAAUGCGCUUGUCAUUAUAAGAGCUUCCUUCCUGUUCCCCAGCCACCAGCUGCCCCUGCAGCCUUUUUAGAUUUAGUAUUUAGCAACAGUUACUGAGAGAACAAUUAAGCAUUAUUUUUAAUCUCAAGGCUAUGAAGGCGUUUCUUAUUUCUUUUGCUUUUGCAACAUUGUGUUUAUUAAUUUGAAUACUUGUAGAUGUUGUGUGUGAAUAGUUUGGGAGAGGGGGGGGGCCUGGGAGAUAAUUCUUGGGAAGAACUAUCAAAAUUGCACUCAAUUAUUAAAAUGAAUGAGCUCU
rnacentral:lncRNA from 1 species